rnacentral:rRNA from 1 species
UACGUAGGGUGCAAGCGUUUGUCCGGAAUUAUUGGGGCGUAAAGAGCUUGUAGGCGGUUUUGUCGCGUCUGCUGUGAAAUUUCGGGGGCUCAACCCCGAACUUGCAGUGGGUACGGGGCAGACUAGAGUGUGGUAGGGGGAGACUGGAAUUCCUGGGUGUAGCGGUGAAAUGCGCAGAUAUCAGGGAGGAACACCGAUGGCGAAGGCAGGUCUCUGGGGCCACUACUGACGUGAGAAGCGAAAAGCAUGGGGGAGCGAACAGG